ensembl:snoRNA
ACCCUCCAGUUCCCUUUCCCAUCUUAUCAAAACACUGGUCUGGAUGGUCGUCAAAGGAGGAAAGGAAACAUUGAAGCUGCCCCUCGGUGCGCUUGGAGCUCGGACUAGUGUCAAACAGGG